GACACUUCAAAACCAUUUGUAAUUGCAUUCUUUGUCUUAAAAACUAUAAUAGUUACAACUUUCAACAACGGAUCUCUUGGUUCUGGCAUCGAUGAAGAACGCAACGAAAUGCGAAAAGUAGUGUGAAUUGCAGAAUUCAGUGAAUCAUCGAAUCUUUGAACGCACAUUGCGCCCCUUGGUAUUCCAUGGGGCAUGCCUGUUCGAGCGUCAUUUGUACCCUCAAGCUCUGCUUGGUGUUGGGUGUUUGUCCCGCCUUCGCGUGUGGACUCGCCUUAAAGUCAUUGGCAGCCGGAAUAAUUCUGGGGAACGCAGCACAACUGCAGCCUCCAUUUUACGCCGAGCGUCCAGUAAGCCUUUUUUUCACGUUUGACCUCGGAUCAGGUAGGGAUACCCGCUGAACUUAAGCAUAUCA
rnacentral:rRNA from 1 species